GAACUUGGUACAAGGAUAGUCCAAUGUAAAACACAUUGCAGAAAUGCAAUCUUGAUCUUACUAGCGCAUGCACUACCAUCUUAAAGUCC
rnacentral:snoRNA from 11 species